rnacentral:rRNA from 1 species
AUUGAACGCUGGCGGCAGGCCUAACACAUGCAAGUCGAACGAGUGGCGGACGGGUGAGUAAUGUCUGGGAAACUGCCUGAUGGAGGGGGAUAACUACUGGAAACGGUAGCUAAUACCGCAUACCAUCGGAUGUGCCCAGAUGGGCUUAGCUAGUAGGUGGGGUAAAGGCUCACAUAGGCGACGAUCCCUAGCUGGUCUGAGAGGAUGACCAGCAACACGGGGACUGAGGCACGGGCCAGACUCCGAAGGUAGGCAGCAGUGGGGAAUAGUGCACAAUGGGCGCAAGCCGGAUGCAGCCAUGCGGCGUGUAUGAAGAAGGCCUUCGGGUGGUAAAGUACUUUCAGCGGGGAGGCGUUACCCGCAGAAGAAGCACCGGCUAACUCCGUGCCAGCAGCGGCGGUAAUAC